CCUACGGGUGGCAGCAGUGGGGAAUAUUGCACAAUGGGCGAAACCCUGAUGCAGCGACGCCGCGUGAGUGAAGACGGAUUUCGGUAUUUAAAGCUCUAUCAGCAGGGAAGAAAAUGACGGUACGUGACUCAGAAGCCCCGGCUAACUCCGUGCCAGCAGCCGCGAUAAUACGUAGGGGGCCAGCGUUAUCCGGAUUUACUGGGUGUAAAGGGAGCGUAGACGGCAGAGCAAGUCUGAGGUGAAAGCCCGCGGCUCAACUGCGGGACUGCUUUGGAAACUGCUCGGCUAGAGUGUGGGAGAGGUAAGCGGAAUUACUAGUGUAGCGGUGAAAUGCGUAGAUAUUAGGAGGAACACCAGUGGCGAAGGCGGCUUACUGGACAGUAACUGACGUUGAGGCUCGAAAGCGUGGGGAGCAAACAGGAUUAGAUACCCCUGUAGUC
rnacentral:rRNA from 1 species